UACAUGUGGGGCAAGCGUUGUUCGGAAUUACUGGGCGUAAAGGGUGCGUAGGUGGUUUGUUGAGUCAGGGGUGAAAUCCCGCGGCCCAACCGUGGAACUGCCUUUGAUACUGGCGAACUUGAGUGCGUGAGGGGUAGGGGGAACGAGCAGUGUAGCGGUGAAAUGCGUAGAUAUUGCUCGGAAGGCCAGAGCCGAAGGGGCCCUACUGGUGCGCAACUGACACUGAGGCACGAAAGCGUGGGGAGCAAACAGG
rnacentral:rRNA from 1 species